rnacentral:rRNA from 1 species
UCCGGGGGGAGCAAGCGUUGUUCGGAUUUACUGGGCGUAAAGGGCGCGUAGGCGGUCAGCACAAGUCAGUUGUGAAAUCUCCGGGCUUAACUCGGAAAGGUCAACUGAUACUGUGCGACUAGAGUGCAGAAGGGGCAACUGGAAUUCUCGGUGUAGCGGUGAAAUGCGUAGAUAUCGAGAGGAACACCUGCGGCGAAGGCGGGUUGCUGGGCUGACACUGACGCUGAUGCGCGAAAGCCAGGGGAGCGAACGGG